UACGAAGGGGGCUAGCGUUGCUCGGAAUCACUGGGCGUAAAGCGCACGUAGGCGGAUUGCUAAGUCAGAGGUGAAAUCCUGGAGCUCAACUCCAGAACUGCCUUUGAUACUGGCGACCUUGAGUCCGGGAGAGGUGAGUGGAACUGCGAGUGUAGAGGUGAAAUUCGUAGAUAUUCGCAAGAACACCAGUGGCGAAGGCGGCUCACUGGCCCGGUACUGACGCUGAGGUGCGAAAGCGUGGGGAGCAAACAGG
rnacentral:rRNA from 1 species